UUUUUUUUUUUUUUUUGGUCAUGUCGCAUCCUGUUGGCCCUUUAUAAAUAUCGGUCUUUACUCAGAUGUACGUGGUUAUUCCCAUAAAGAUACAGUUGACUGUGUUCUUAGGAUAAAAUACAUAGGCAUUCCCUGGGGGCCUAGCCGUUAAGGACUUGACAUGGAUCAUCACGGCUGUGACUCAGGUUCAGUCCCUGGCCUGGGAACCUCCACCCUCUAUGGGCGCAGCCAAAAACAAACAAACAAACAAAAAACAAACAAAAAAAAAGAUAAAAUCCAUCAACAUUUCCAAGUGUAGAUGCACAUGUUCAUGAAAAGGGAAAGAAAAUGCUCGCUAGCAUUUGCUAGAAAAUGAAGGAAGCAAAACCAUACGAUUCUACUGAUGGGAAAGUUGCUAAAAUAUAUAUUAAUGUGUCCCAGACAUGCAAAAAAAAAAAAGAGGGGAAGGAAAUUUACUGAGAGGUUAGUAGUCUCUCAGUGGCGACAUCAGGAUUUUCUAAAAAUAGUUUAUGUUGUCAGAAUUUUUCAAGAUUUGAUUUAAGUGAAAAAAACAAGCUUUAGAAAGAGGUAAGGAGUUUCUGUUGUGGCACAGCAGAAACGAAUCUGACUAGGUUCGACCCCUGGCCUCGCUCAGUGGGUUAAGGAUCCGGCGUUGUCGUGAGCUGUGGUAUAGGUCGCAGACGUGGCUUGGAUCUGGCGUGGCUGUGGCUGUGGUGUAGGCCUGCAACUGUAGCUCUGAUUGGACCCCUAGCCUGGGAACCUCCAUAUGCCUCGGGUGUGGCCCUAAAAAGCAAUAAAUAAAUAAAUAAAUGGUAAGACACUGCUGACCACAAAGGGGAUUUUUAAUGGCUUAUAAGUGAAACGACUUGGUGUUUAGCCUCUGUGUUGGAGUUUUUGAAUUGAAUGGAACUAGAUGGACUGCACUGAAAACUCUGGCUGCUUUGGUUUAGCUGGAGAAUUCUUUUUCUAGGUGAUCUUUGUGUUACGGCUUUGAACCCAGGAUACUGUCCUGCAGUGGUGCCCAGGGGUUGCGGAAUGCAGAACUGGCUUGGCAGGCAUUGCUUUGUAACCUCCCUGGUCCUUGAAGUUCCUCAUGUCCUGCCAGCAGAACCCCUUUCACCUCAUCGGAAAGGGAGUUCCUUGGAGAUGCUGCUGAGAGGAGGCUUAAAAGAAGCCCCCUGGCCCCACCAGGGACGGAGGGGUGGCUUCCUCCGGAGUGUGGUCAGGUGUUACCAGAAAUGCAAAUAAAAGCCAGUCAGCGUGGGCUGCGCCUCAGCAUCUCCCAUUCCGCCAGGCAGACUCAGGACGAUGGCGCUUGGGACGGUGGUACUUUGUAACGUGUUGAGUCAAAGGCCAAUGUUAGAUGCCCCAGUUAGACCCCUUGACUCCCCACGGAGCUAUUCUACCCACCUUCGUCAUCAGUGCCCUGAGAGUGGCCUGCCCUGGUCAGACCCAAACCCUGGUGUGUUCCUGUGUCUCACGAGGGGCCUGCGUGAUGGACUGGGGACCAGCUCAUCAGGUUCCCAGACACAGAUGCCCUGGAGGGCUGAGACUUUCUGGGGUGAAGGGAAAGGCGGCUCCCGUGAGCAUGGCUUGGGAAUUUCAGUAACGGGGGGUCAGCUCCAAGCCGACAGGAGCAAUCCCCGCCCAGAAAGACAGACCCCGUCACCACAGAUGGCAAAGGAGGGAAGCGACUCAGGGCGCCACCUUAGAUCUGAAUCCUAGGCUGGACUUUCUGCUUUUAUUUAUUCAGUCGAAAUAGCUUCGCUCUAGUUUUGAGAGAAAAGUGACACACAGCGUGCUUGCAGGCUCUCCUCCCUUGCCAUUUGCCACCCUCUCAUCCAUGUUUAAAGAGCCUGCAGGAGCCCAGGAGUUGUAUUCCUCUCUCUCUCUCUCUCUCUCUCUUUUUUUUUUUGCUUUUAGGGCUGCACCGGCAGCAUAUGGAGGUUCCCAGGCAAGGGGUCCAAUCCAAGCUACAGCUGCUGGCCUACAACGCAGACACAGAGACACCAGAUCUGAGCCACGUCUGUGACCUACACCACAGCUCACGGCAACGCCGGAUUUUUAACCCACUGAGCGAGGCCAGGGAUCGAACCUGCAAACUCAUGGUUCCUCGUCGGAUUCGUUUCCGCUGCACCACGACGGGAACUCCAUGUUUUCCCCCUCUCUUAAGAAUCUCGUUUAUGAAAGUGAACAGGGAAUUCGUCCUGCUGCUUUUUGCAAGAUGGCUGUGAAAUAUGCGCCUCUCCUGUCACACUCUUUGUGUUCUAGAAUAUGUGGGAAGGGUGAAUUUGCUGUCUCCCUCCUACAUGCCAGGUGCCUUCCCCUGCAUCUUCUUGGUUUACCUGUGUGCACAUAUCCUCACCUGUAUCCAGGUGUAUCCACAGGUGCAUUCAGUGACUUAUCCAAGGUCACCUCGUGAGUGGAGGGCAGACCUUGGUUGUUCACAAGGUCUCUUCUCUCCUACACUCUCCCCAAAGUUGAGGCUUCACCUCUGCCUUUUGCAUCAUGUCAAGGGCCGAAAGGCACCCCCUGCCUGACCUUUUGGCCUGGGAUACGGAAGUUCGUUGACUCUUGCCUGGCAGGGCCGGGAGCUGGCCCUCUUUCCCAAUCAAUGUGUAUCAUUUCGGCAAGACACCGAGUCCGCUGCUGGAGAGAUUGAUCCUCUCGUUAUUUAUCUUCCCCCGCCUGGUGUAAAUUGGUCAGCCUGAUCCUGUCCGCAUGAUAAAAAUCAUAAUGUCUCAAAUUACUUACUCAAUAAAAUGUGGGUUUGUCUAUUAUUAGUGAUCAUUAGGGUUAUAAUGCAGCAUGGAAAUUUGGAGCAAAUUAACUACAUAUGCAAGCUCAUGUGCAGUUAAUCAUACACACACAGUUCCAGUGGGCAGAAGGUUUUGCAAGAAUUGUUUCAGGAAGAAUUGCUGGGAGGGGAGUUCAGUACCCAAGUUAUUAUUUUUUCAUCUCCUGUUCCCUCUUAAUCUGGAUUUCUCAAAAGCACAUUUAUCUCAUACAACAUCGAAUCCUGCAAG
rnacentral:lncRNA from 1 species